CCCACAAGAUAGUCAGCAGUCUAAUAUAUGAAUAUUGUUAAACUGCGUUACACUUGUGGAAAAUUGAAAUGGUUUCCUGCAAUCGUCUAUGUUUGCCUUGUGUUAAGGUGAACUAUUUGAUCAGUGGAAGCAUCGCAUGCUUGUACCACAUGAGGGAGAAAUUCACUUUUCUAGUUUCUUCCAUGUACGGCAAGCAGACACA